rnacentral:rRNA from 1 species
GAUGAACGCUGGCGGCGUGCUUAACACAUGCAAGUCGAACGGAAAGGCCCUGCUUUUGUGGGGUGCUCGAGUGGCGAACGGGUGAGUAACACGUGAGUAACCUGCCCUUGACUUUGUGAUAACUUCAGGAAACUGGGGCUAAUACCGGAUAUGAGCUCCUGCUGCAUGGUGGGGGUUGGAAAGUUUCGGCGUUUGUGGAUGGACUCGCGGCUUAUGAGCUUGUUGGUGGGGUAGUGGCUUACCAGGGCUUUGACGGGUAGCCGGCCUGAGAGGGUGACCGGCGACAUUGGGACUGAGAUACGGCCCAGACUCCUACGGGAGGCAGCAGUGGGGAAUAUUGCACAAUGGGCGGAAGCCUGAUGCAGCAACGCCGCGUGCGGGAUGACGGCCUUUGGGUUGUAAACCGCUUUCGCCUGUGACGAAGCGUGAGUGACGGUAAUGGGUAAAGAAGCACCGGCUAACUACGUG